UUGCCAGGGUUUCUUUGAACUAUCAUUUUUGCAUCCCACAUGCAGCACUUCACGUUUCUCUGAGGAAUAUUUGGAGAUGUUUGCUGCGGGUCUAUCAGGCCGUGAUCAGAGGAUGUCUCAUAUUGUCUUUCUUCUUUGAGGCCCCCGCUACCGUUUUUGAUUUUUUUUGGAAGACAUAUUAGCAUACCCCUCUGCCCAAGGAGCCAUCCUAAAGGACUUCAGAUUGCUGUGAGGAGGUUUGCUGACAUUCACAGGAGCAACGCCAAACAGGAAUCAUCCAUCAGCCCCCACACAUUUGUGUCCAUCCUCUCAUUUCAGAGCUAAAGAUAUCAGCUGCCCCUCUCCACGUCACCCUCAAAUAGGAAAUGGAAUCCGUGCGCCAUGGUUGCAGUCAGUCAAGCGUCUCUACAGUUACAUGCAGGUCAUCGAGUCCCAGCAGACGCCAUCGUCUCACAGCUGGGGACACAAAACAUUUUCAAACCUUGACAUAAAAAACUGUUUGUUUUGAUCUCAAAAUACAUUAGCUAGGAGAACAUUUCACUCGCUUUCCAGUUAAACCGCCAGAGACUGUCCGCGUACCUUUC